rnacentral:rRNA from 1 species
GGGCUCACACAAGCGGUGGAGGAUGUGGCUUAAUUCGAGGCUACGCGAAGAACCUUACCUAGGCUUAACAUGUUUGGGAAUCUCUAUGAAAGUAGAGAGUGCCUUUCGGGGAACCCUUACGUAGGUGCUGCAUGGCUGUCGUCAGCUCGUGUCGUGAGAUGUCGGGUUAAGUCCCUAACGAGCGAAACCCUUAUCCCUAGUUGCCAGCGAGUCAUGUCGGGACUCUAGGAGACUGCGGUGUUAAAACCGGAGGAAGGUGGGAUGACGUCAAGUCUCAUGGCCUUUAUGCCUAGGGCUGCACACGUCCUACAAUGCAACAUACAAAGAGAUGCGAAAUCGCGAGAUCAAGCA